CCUCCUCCUCCUCCUCCUCCUCCUCUCCCUCUUUACCUCCCCCUUUUCCUACUCCCUAUCGUCCCUCCUCCUCUCUGAAUGAGUGAAACCUGAGAACUUGGACCAGCUCUGAACACCCCAUCUCCAGGAGAGAUCCUGCAGGGGGAGGUUCCCCAAAUCACUGCCCUCUCCCAGCCCUGGCCAAGCCGACCCCGCCCCCGACCACGACCAUUCCCCUUGUUGGCCCAGAAGCAGACACAUCUCAAGUCUCCUUCGCUUCUUCUCCUCCCCCCAUAUAUGAGUUAGGCUGAGUUUCUUUUUUUCACCUCCUCUGCCACAUAAAAAUUGUUUCUUUCCCAUUUCUCUACCCCGCCUUCUUUUCCCCUUUCCUCCCUCCCCCUCUCUAUCGACGUGUCUCUCUUGGGCUAUUUUUAGGGGAGUUCCCUAUAAAGGUCCCGGGAAAGUGAGGGCCAGACACUAAGACGUGGCACUCUGGCCCCUACAGGCAGCGAAAUCUGCAGACAUCCACUCCAGUGAUUUUUCUAAACUGACAUCUCAGAAGAAAAGCGAAGAUGAGAUUAGAGUGAAGAUCAUCACAAGAGAGCAAGCUCCAACCUUGGAUCAUGAUUGACAUGAAAGAAAAAUUUUAAUAUCUGUGAUAUUUAAAAAGAAGGAAGGAGAUUAGGUUAAAAUUAUGAAAAACCACAGACUAAAGACUGUGGCCUUUUGCCAUUUAAUUCUUAAUUGGAUUUUCCAGUGUACAAGCCAGCAGACACAUAUCAUGCUAUGGCAAUCCUUGGAUGUUCAAUUAUCCCUUUCAUUUUUUUUAUGCUCUUUACUAAGAUCAACCUUCCUUUUUGUUCAUUUAUUUGUUUUAAUGUAAUUUUGUAUUUGGGCAAUAUAAUCAGCUGUUUCAUACUAGAGUUAAUUCAUUCAACAAAUAUUAUUAACACUUGCUCUAUAAAAGUAGUGAUACUAAAGUUUUUAUUUAAAUAUGAUAGUGUCCUUAGGAGGCUAGAUAUUCUAGAUAUUAGUAAGUCAUAGAGAUAUUUUUCCAUGGAUUGAGUUUACUUUUUAAAUAGCAGUCUUCAUUUUUCUUAAAAAUAAAAAUGAAAUACUCAAAAUAACAUUUUAUGUAAAUAUUGUUAACCCUGGUAUUUAUGGAAAAACUAAGUAAUAGCUGAUAGUAUUGUAUAAUUUACUGAUAUUGAAGGAAGAUAAUAUACCAAAAAUAGUAUGCAGAAAAAAUAUGACAAGGCAAAAGCAAAUCAUGAGAGUGAAAACCAUUAUGUGAAAAUGAAGUAUAAAAUUAAAAUUUUCAUUUUCAAAAUA